GUUCUUCCCAUUUUUGCCUGGCAGGACGACUCGACUUCAAAUUGAAUACCAGACUGACGCCGUUUCUCCAACCACUCUUCAACCCAGCACCAUGAAGGCUACAUCUGCAGUGGAUUCAGCCAUUCUGCCCGUUGCUGUGCAAGAACUGCUUACUCGUCUUCUGGAGUUCUUACCCAUCAAGCACAGACAUCCUGCCGAACUCGAUUCUGUCAUUGACUCCGAUAGUCUGACCCCCGAAGUGAAACAGGCCUUGGAGAGGUGGCUCGCUGAACACAUCAGG